UACGGGGGGGGCAAGCGUUGUUCGGAAUUACUGGGCGUAAAGGGCUCGUAGGUGGCCAACUAAGUCGGACGUGAAAUCCCUCGGCUUAACCGGGGAACUGCGUCCGAUACUGGUUGGCUUGAGUUUGGGAGAGGGAUGCGGAAUUCCAGGUGUAGCGGUGAAAUGCGUAGAUAUCUGGAGGAACACCGGUGGCGAAGGCGGCUCACUGGCCCGGUACUGACGCUGAGGUGCGAAAGCGUGGGGAGCAAACAGG
rnacentral:rRNA from 1 species